rnacentral:rRNA from 1 species
AAUUGUGGCCAUGCCACCAUGCCAUCAGAUCUCAUCAGAUCUGAUCUAGCUAAGCAGGGGUGGGCCUGGUUAGUACAUGGUUGGGAGAAUGCUGGGAAUACCAGUUUCCACAGUUG